rnacentral:rRNA from 1 species
ACAGCAGUCGCCACGGUAAUACGAGGGGGGCAAGCGUUGUUCGGAAUUAUUGGGCGUAAAGGGUGCGUAGGCGGUUUGAUAAGUUUGGUGUGAAAUCUCUGGGCUCAACCCAGAGUCUGCAUCGAAAACUGUCGGGCUUGAGUAUGGGAGAGGUGAGUGGAAUUUCCGGUGUAGCGGUGAAAUGCGUAGAUAUCGGAAGGAACACCUGUGGCGAAAGCGGCUCACUGGACCAUAACUGACGCUGAUGCACGAAAGCUAGGGGAGCAAACAGGAUUAGAUACCCCUGUAGUCCCUGUCUCUUAUAC